rnacentral:rRNA from 3 species
UAGGGAAUCUUCCGCAAUGGACGAAAGUCUGACGGAGCAACGCCGCGUGAGUGAUGAAGGUUUUCGGAUCGUAAAGCUCUGUUGUUAGGGAAGAACAAGUGCCGUUCAAAUAGGGCGGCACCUUGACGGUACCUAACCAGAAAGCCACGGCUAACUACGUGCCAGCAGCCGCGGUAAUACGUAGGUGGCAAGCGUUGUCCGGAAUUAUUGGGCGUAAAGGGCUCGCAGGCGGUUUCUUAAGUCUGAUGUGAAAGCCCCCGGCUCAACCGGGGAGGGUCAUUGGAAACUGGGGAACUUGAGUGCAGAAGAGGAGAGUGGAAUUCCACGUGUAGCGGUGAAAUGCGUAGAGAUGUGGAGGAACACCAGUGGCGAAGGCGACUCUCUGGUCUGUAACUGACGCUGAGGAGCGAAAGCGUGGGGAGCGAACAGG